GACGAACGCUGGCGGCGUGCUUAACACAUGCAAGUCGAACGGAAAGGCCCCCUUUUUGGGUGCUCGACGGGCGAAGAGGGGGGGAGCACCACAGGAGUCUACCCUCCAUUUUGGGGUGACAUCAUGAAACUAGUGCGGAUACCACAUAGGAGGUGCUCCUGCAGCGUGGGGGUUGGAAGAUAUCGGCGGUUGGGGAUGGACUAGCGGCUUAUCAGCUUGUUGGUGGGGUAGUGGCUGACCAAGGCUUUGACGGGUAGCCGGCCUGAGAGGGUGACCGGCCACAUUGGGACUGAGAUACGGCCCAGACUCCUACGGGAGGCAGCAGUGGGGAAUAUUGCACAAUGGGCGGAAGCCUGAUGCAGCAACGCCGCGUGCGGGAUGACGGCCUUCGGGUUGUAAACCGCUUUCGCCUGUGACGAAGCGUGAGUGACGGUAAUGGGUAAAGAAGCACCGGCUAACUACGUG
rnacentral:rRNA from 1 species